rnacentral:lncRNA from 1 species
CAAAGUUCUUUUAUACAAAUUAUUACAGAGUCAGAAAAGAGGAAAGAAAAAUAUAACAUACAUCAAAACUGCAGCUAGAUCCAAAACGCCGAAUGGAACCGUAGUAUCUAAUAACAUGUAAUUAACCAACUUUCGGAAUCCUGAUUUCCAAUGCCUUCCCUUUAUCCAAAGUGUUUCAAAGAUCCAAGGAAUCUCAAGGAUUCCCGGCAUUGCUUACACUCAGGAUAGUAUUAGAAUAGUGUAGUGUGGAAUAGCUAGCCCUUACGCAUCCAAGUUCAGGGAGCUCAAUCCCAAAGCAAGGCUUGCGAGAGAAGUCCAAAACUUAAUAGCUAGGAGUAAGUGCAAAAUGAAAGGAGGAUUGGGAAGCCAUACCGAGUGGUGGUCAUGCCUAUCCACAAGAUAGGCUAGCAUACCCCUGACAACUUGUUUGGCUAAAAAAGUUAGGAGCGGACCUUUGAAGGUCGGACCAAGGUCUGGACAAUGAUUAGGACUCUACCAGACCCAAGUCCGGGGCUCAAACAAAUAAAGCGAAAGGGAUUGGGAACUGAUUGAGCUUUGGAUUCAAAGAACCCAGUUCAGAAACAUGGACAACAAUAUUAAAGGGCUAUCAUGCUUUGAACCAUAACUCACACAUAAAGGGGUAAAGGAUAAGGGUAUUCACAUUAGAAUGGUAGUGAUAACAUUGCAGAGAAGACAGUAAGAAAAAGCAUACUAGAACUAGAAUUUAAAUACAUAGUGGAAGAGAAAUACUAAAAUAGGAUGCAGAUACCAGUUGCAAAGUAACAGAAAGAGAAUAGCAGAGUAACCACAGCAAGCAAACAUCAUAACCAACUUAGAAUUUCAGCAGAACAGUCAAGGAUUUAAGAAGAAUAUAAAGGUAUAUCAGAAGAAGGAAGUAGAAAACAGAACUGGUAUGUAUGCUGAGAGAAGAAGAGAUUUGGAAAAUAGAUUGCCUAUUGCUUGGUUGUUACUUGUUGUCACUGGUUGUCUUCUAUAUUUUUAAAAGGGGAGGGCUAAGCCCUUUAUUUAGUGUAGAGAAGAAAAUAAGAAAGGUAAGAAAACCUCAAAAAUCAAUCUCAAAUAUUCUCCCUUUAGUCAAGGGAUUUAAUUUCAAAUGGAAGCAUGUAAUUAAGGAAAGGGAAUUCAGCAGUCCUUCACAGCAUCAUAGGAGGGGAAAAUAUAUGAGACUUAUUUGAGGAAAGAGUUCAACAGUACUUGAUUUGCAAAGAAAAUAGAAAGGAAAUAAAUCAAACAAUUAACAACAUCAACAUGCCGGGUUUUAAAUCGAAUGAACCAAACCAGAAAUAGGUAAAGAGGGCUUAACAAAAGAAAAUCAAUGGCGAUCAGUCAAGAACCUAUCAAAGGGAUUCAAAAUCAAUCAAACAAUUACCAAAAUAUUGAAAGAGGAGUUUCUCACAUAUAAAAAAACACUUCAAACAAAAGGUUCUAACAUUGACGUGCCCAAAAUCAUAAACAAAAGAAUACGAUUUCAACCAAAUACUAAUAGUGAGUCUUAAGAUACAGAGUCCCCAAAGUGGAACCCUAUUUCGAUUUACCAAGAAAAACCCUCAAAUUCUAGGUUUUCCCCAUCGAAUCAAACACAGAAAUGAGAAGGCAAGUGAAUACACUCAAGGAAUAUCAGAGAAUCAGGCAAAUACAGAAACAAUCAAGGAAAGAAAAACCUUUCUAAGGCAUGAAAAAGAUGUUAAGACACCUUCUGAACUUAAGAAAAGAUGGGGGUUCAAACAGAACUGACGAAACAUGCUUGAUAAGAACAUGAACAUAGUUUAGAAAAUCAAAACAUUGAGAAACACACAUGGUAGAAAAUAAAAUAAAAACAAGACUAAUACCGUGAGCAGACAAUACAUGCAUAAUAGAGGAGGAAAGCAUACGAGCAUAAUACAGACAAACAUCUAAAAGAAAGAACCACAAGAAUCAAAAGACUUUCAGAAACCCUAAUUUUGAAAAACCAACGAUUUAAAAAAGGAAAUUUGCGGAAAAUACUCAAAAGGUCAAAUGUAGCAUAGAUUUAGCACAGAUCUAAAAGGAUAAGCGAAAAGGAACCUCGAUUAGGCUAUGGUUUCUGAGAACCCAAAAAGACGAGAAGCCUUGGAAGUGUCGCGAAUGGUUCUGAGCUGAUAAAGUCGAAUCCAGGCUCAAGAGGUUGAGAGAUGCCGGAGCAAAAACAAAAAUGGCCAAAGAAUCUCGAGUUGUCCAAGUCUGGAGGAAGACCUUCGAGGUCUAGCCUCGGAUCUUUAGUGAGCAGUCAUAUAGGAGCAAGAGAUGGUCAGUAAAGGUCCUCAAUGGCUAGAUUAGCCAUGGAUUCUGGUGGAAUUUGGGUCGGAGAAGGGGUAUGCGGCUUCUAGGGUUUCAGAGGUUGAGAGAGUUCGAGAGAGACGAGGGAACCAAAG